UCUAGAAAGACAUCCAUUCAUUUUCGAAACAUUGUGCUUGAUUUGACAAUAUGGAUUUCAGGAUAUAUGUUUUGUUUUUGGCCCUAUUUUCAUUCGGAAGCUCAUCAACUGUGAGGGAUCCACGAGAAAAGGUGGAAUUAACUAUUUUGGGGGGAAAAAAAUUGCCAUUUAUUGAGCCACGCAUAUGCUGGGACUGGGUCUGUAGUCCUGCAUGCGAAGUACUCGGAUGUAAAAAAGGCUUUUGCGAAAAUGAUAAAUGCUGGUGUGUAGUGAAUAAGCCGAAAUGUAAACGCCAAAAUAUGUAAAAUCGACCCGGCGCACACCUGUAUACGAAUGCGUACGCAGAAGUGUGCGCCAGGCGAUUAACCAACGCCUGAUAAGCCGCACGGUAACGUAUGUCUUACGUAACGAGAACGGCUUGGCAAAUCAUUGUAUUAUCAAAUUAAAUAAAAUCAUAUCAGUCUUUAUUCUACCACA